rnacentral:tRNA from 5 species
GCUGGCGUAGCUCAACUGGUAGAGCAGCUGACUUGUAAUCAGCAGGUUGCGGGUUCAAGUCCCAUCGCCAGCUCCA